GCCAGGCGCAGUGGCGAGUGCCUGUAGUCCCAGCUGCUUAGGAGGCUGAGGUGGGAGGAUUGCUUGAGCCCAGGAGUUCUGGGCUAUAGUGCGCUUUGCCAAUCAGGUGUCCGCACUAAGCUCGGCAUCAAUAAUGGUCCUCCCAGGAGCAGGGGACCACCAGGUUGCCUAAGGAGGGGUGAACUUGCCCAGGUCAGAAACAGAGCAGGUCAAAACUUCAGUGCUGAUCAGUAGUGGGAUCUCGCCUGUGAAUAGCCACUGCAUUGCAGCCUGGGGAACAUAGUGAGAUCCCGUCUCUG
ensembl:misc_RNA Metazoa_SRP Metazoan signal recognition particle RNA